UACGAAGGGGGCUAGCGUUGCUCGGAAUCACUGGGCGUAAAGCGCACGUAGGCGGAUUGUUAAGUCAGGGGUGAAAUCCUGGAGCUCAACUCCAGAACUGCCUUUGAUACUGGCGAUCUCGAGUCCGGGAGAGGUGAGUGGAACUGCGAGUGUAGAGGUGAAAUUCGUAGAUAUUCGCAAGAACACCGGUGGCGAAGGCGGUGAUCUGGGCCGACACUGACACUGAAUCGCGAAAGCGUGGGGAGCGAACAGG
rnacentral:rRNA from 1 species